UGGGGAAUUUGGACAAUGGGCGAAAGCCUGAUCCAGCAAUGCCGCGUGUGUGAAGAAGGCCUUCGGGUUGUAAAGCACUUUUGUCCGGAAAGAAAUCCUUGGCUCUAAUACAGUCGGGGGAUGACGGUACCGGAAGAAUAAGCACCGGCUAACUACGUGCCAGCAGCCGCGGUAAUACGUAGGGUGCAAGCGUUAAUCGGAAUUACUGGGCGUAAAGCGUGCGCAGGCGGUUUGCUAAGACCGAUGUGAAAUCCCCGGGCUCAACCUGGGAACUGCAUUGGUGACUGGCAGGCUAGAGUAUGGCAGAGGGGGGUAGAAUUCCACGUGUAGCAGUGAAAUGCGUAGAGAUGUGGAGGAAUACCGAUGGCGAAGGCAGCCCCCUGGGCCAAUACUGACGCUCAUGCACGAAAGCGUGGGGAGCAAACAGGAUUAGAUACCCUGGUAGUCCACGCCCUAAACGAUGUCAACUAGUUGUUGGGGAUUCAUUUCCUUAGUAACGUAGCUAACGCGUGAAGUUGACCGCCUGGGGAGUACGGUCGCAAGAUUAAAACUUAAAUGAAUUGACGGGGUCAUAGCUGUUUCCU
rnacentral:rRNA from 1 species